AUUGAACGCUGGCGGCAGGCUUAACACAUGCAAGUCGAACGAGUGGCGGACGGGUGAGUCAUGCUUGUGAAUCUAGCUUAUGGAGGGGGAUAACUACGGGAAACUGUAGCUAAUACCGCGUACCAUAGUAUGAGCCCAGGUGGGAGUAGGUAGUUGGUGAGGUAAAGGCUCACCAAGCCGACGAUCUCUAGCUGGUCUGAGAGGAUGACCAGCGACACUGGGACUGAGACACGGCCAAGACUCCUACGGGAGGCAGCAGUGGGGAAUAUUGCACAAUGGGGGCAACCUGACGCAGCCAGGCCGCGUGAAUGAAGAAGGCCUUCGGGUUGUAAAGUACUUUCGGUGGCGAGGCGUUAACUACAGAAGAAGCACCGGCUAACUCCGUGCCAGCCGCCGCGGUAAUAC
rnacentral:rRNA from 1 species